AACGCACAUUGCGCCCGCCAGUAUUCUGGCGGGCAUGCCUGUUCGAGCGUCAUUUCAACCCCUCAAGCUCCGCUUGGUGUUGGGGCUCCUACGUGCGCCGUAGGCCCCGAAUUCUAGUGGCGGGCUCGCCGCGAUCCCGAGCGUAGUAGUAGCAUUACCCCUCGCUCAGGGCGUCGCGGCGGGUGCCGGCCGUGAAAGAAAAACCUAUUUUACAACAUGACAGGUUGACCUCGGAUCAGGUAGGAAUACCCGCUGAACUUAA
rnacentral:misc_RNA from 1 species